ACCAUUCUCAACAAAAUAAAGAAGUAAUACUCUUCUUCCCUUAGCACCAGCCCCUUGAUCAAUUCAACACACAAAUCCGAUCGACAAGCGAAUCCUUUCUUUCUCCAUUCCCACUGGUCGGCAUACCGUCUUGCCCGCUGCCCGCCUUUUUCCCUCCUUUCCCACUAGCCCCCUCGUUCUAUAUAAACCUCCACACAUUGACCAUAACCUUUUAAUCUCAAAAUGUUCGUCAAACUCACCGUCACCGUUCUUUUCUUUCUAUGCGCCGUCGCUUAUUCUCGUACUCCGUCAGAUCUACCAGAUGGGGACUUCACUCUACCCGAAUUACCAAGAUCCGAUCCGAAAGCCACGCCUGUUCUCUUCCUCCCAAGCCAGAAACCCGAAACUAGUGAGCCCGCAACUGAAAUAAAGUAUCCAGCUGAUGUAGAAAUCGAGGAGCAAAAGGAACCAGGAUCGUCAUCAACGGAGGUGAAGACGGAAUCGAUUGAGACAGCGGUGCCGCUAACAGUCGUGACUUUCCGUCCAACAAACCUUCACUUCUUGCCUCGAC
rnacentral:lncRNA from 1 species